rnacentral:sRNA from 1 species
GUCGUGAGAUGUUGGGUUAAGUCCCGCAACGAGCGCAACCCUUGUCCCUAGUUGCUACGCAAGGGCACUCUAGGGAGACUGCCGGUGACAAACCGGAGGAAGGUGGGGAUGACGUCAAGUCCUCAUGGCCCUUAUGGGUAGGGCUUCACACGUCAUACAAUGGUACAUACAGAGGGCCGCCAACCCGCGAGGGGGAGCUAAUCCCAGAAAGUGUAUCGUAGUCCGGAUUGUAGUCUGCAACUCGACUGCAUGAAGUUGGAAUCGCUAGUAAUCGCGGAUCAGCAUGUCGCGGUGAAUACGUUCCCGGGUCUUGUACACACCGCCCGUCACACCAUGGGAGCGGGUUUUACCAGAAGUAGGUAGCUUAACCGUAAGGGGGGCGCUUACCACGGUAGGAUUCGUGACUGGGGUGAAGUCGUAACAAGGUAGCCGUAUCGGAAGGUGCGGCUGGAUCACCUCCUUUCUAGAGUAGCACCAGGGGUCAUAGACUCCAGCAUCAAGCGUCCACGCUUAUCGGCUGUUAGUAAGAGAAGAAACAGCAGUAUCCGAACAGGUCUGUAGCUCAGCUGGUUAGAGCACCGUGUUGAUAACGCGGGGGUCGUUGGUUCGAGCCCAACCAGACCCACCAGGUUAUGUAGGCCAGCAAAAGGCAGGUGAUUACUUUUUGCGAUGGUUUCAACGGGGGAUUAGCUCAGCUGGGAGAGCACCUGCUUUGCAAGCAGGGGGUCGUCGGUUCGAUCCCGUCAUCCUCCACCAAGUUCUGUACUGUGUAUUGAUAGAGUGCAAAUCCAAGUGUAGACACUUCGAUUUGAUCUUUAGCGAUCAUAAGCUGUUUCGUUCUUUAACAAUCAGGAAGAAGUCAAAGUAAAGAAGUAAAUAUCGUCCGGUGUCAAAGCCGGGCGAUGGGUAGCGAUUGUAGUAAUCAGCAAACAUAGUUGUACCGCUUGAUCCUGACGCGCUUUCAAUAGCCUUAUUGAGAGCCCAGCGUUAUAGGGACAAGUGAAUAAGUGCAUAUGGUGGAUGCCUUGGCGAUUACAGGCGAUGAAGGACGUAGUAGCUUGCGAUAAGCUGCGGGGAGCUAGCAAACAAGCAUUGAUCCGCAGAUUU